rnacentral:tRNA from 1 species
GGGCUGGGGCUCAGUGGUACAGCGCUUGCCUAGAACGUGAGAGGCCCUGGGUUCAAACCUCAGCACCACA